rnacentral:lncRNA from 1 species
UUUGACUCUUGACAAGCUAGAUGGAGGCUUGGGGAAAGAAGCGGGUCAAACGGAUCGUAUACGCGGAAAAGAGCAUAAUCCGGAUACUAGGGGUAAAUCCAACCUAAAUCGAAAUCCAAGCACGAAUUCAUGAUCACCUCGAUGAAGGGAUCAUAAGUUUGACUCUUGACAAGCUAGAUGGAGGCUUGGGGAAAGAAGCGGGUCAAACGGAUCGUAUACGCGGAAAAGAGCAUAAUCCGGAUACUAGGUAAGUUAAAGCUUACACCUUUUAUUAACAACUAUUGGUUUUAUAGAUUAUGAAUAAUCAAAAGUCAUAUUUGACUUAUGAUGUUUUGACCCGUCAUGUGCGGUUCGGAACAAAAGACAUUAAUGAUAAACCAUGUUGAAUGAUUAAAAAGAGCUAAUAAGAUCAUUUAGUCAUGCAAUGACUAAUAAAUAACGAGUUCUAAAUGAUUACCUUGUAAGGUAAAUCAAUACAAUUAAUAAGGGUUAAAUGGUAAGGUGGUCACUAGUUGACGAUAACCGUUAGUUUUGAAGGACACUUUAUGGCGUAAGAUAUAAAGGGGUCAAAAUGAUCAAGAAAUAGAUUUAUAAGGAAAAUUGACCGUACGGUGUAAACCGGUACAAGUCAUGUAGACGAGAUGAUGAUAAAUCCAUCUCGCAAAAGUAAACGGUCAUUUAGACCAAACG